rnacentral:rRNA from 1 species
CAUGUCCUUUAGAAAAUGAUUUAAGGUCUGACCUGCACGAUGAAGUUUAAAUUGCCGCAGUAUUUUGACUGUGCGAAGGUAGCAUAAUAAUUAGUUCCUUGAUUAGGGACUUGUAUGAAGGGUUGGACGAGAGAAUAUCUGUCUCAAUUUAAUUUUUAUUGAAUUUUAUUUUUAAGUUAAAAGGCUUAAAUUGAUCUAAAAGACGAGAAGACCCUAUAGAGUUUUACAAUUUAAUUUGAUUAGUAGUUAGUAUUGUUAUUUAUAUUUAAUUGUUUAGUUGGGGUGAUUUGUUGAUUAGUAUAAUUCUUUAAAAAAUUAAAUUAAUGAUGUUUAAAUAUAAAAUCUGGAUAUUUCAAGUUUAAAACAAAUUACCUUAGGGAUAACAGCGUAAUUUUUCUUUAAAGUUCAUAUUGAAAGAAGAGCUUGCGACCUCGAUGUUGGAUUAAAGUUAAUAUUUGGUGCAGUAACUUAAUUAUUAGGUCUGUUCGACCUUUAAAACUUUACAUGAUCUGAGUUUAGACCGGCGUGAGCCAGGUUAGAUUCUAUCUUUAUUGUGUUAAUGUAUUUUAGUACGAAAGGACCAUAUAUAUGUUAGAUAUUAAUUG